CAUAGGUUAAUGAGGCGAACCGGGGGAACUGAAACAUCUAAGUACCCCGAGGAAAAGAAAUCAACCGAGAUUCCCCCAGUAGCGGCGAGCGAACGGGGAGCAGCCCAGAGCCUGAAUCAGUAUGUGUGUUAGUGGAAGCGUCUGGAAAGGCGCGCGAUACAGGGUGACAGCCCCGUACACAAAAAUGCACAUGCUGUGAGCUCGAUGAGUAGGGCGGGACACGUGGUAUCCUGUCUGAAUAUGGGGGGACCAUCCUCCAAGGCUAAAUACUCCUGACUGACCGAUAGUGAACCAGUACCGUGAGGGAAAGGCGAAAAGAACCCCGGCGAGGGGAGUGAAAAAGAACCUGAAACCGUGUACGUACAAGCAGUGGGAGCACGCUUAGGCGUGUGACUGCGUACCUUUUGUAUAAUGGGUCAGCGACUUAUAUUCUGUAGCAAGGUUAACCGAAUAGGGGAGCCGAAGGGAAACCGAGUCUUAACUGGGCGUUAAGUUGCAGGGUAUAGACCCGAAACCCGGUGAUCUAGCCAUGGGCAGGUUGAAGGUUGGGUAACACUAACUGGAGGACCGAACCGACUAAUGUUGAAAAAUUAGCGGAUGACUUGUGGCUGGGGGUGAAAGGCCAAUCAAACCGGGAGAUAGCUGGUUCUCCCCGAAAGCUAUUUAGGUAGCGCCUCGUGAAUUCAUCUCCGGGGGUAGAGCACUGUUUCGGCAAGGGGGUCAUCCCGACUUACCAACCCGAUGCAAACUGCGAAUACCGGAGAAUGUUAUCACGGGAGACACACGGCGGGUGCUAACGUCCGUCGUGAAGAGGGAAACAACCCAGACCGCCAGCUAAGGUCCCAAAGUCAUGGUUAAGUGGGAAACGAUGUGGGAAGGCCCAGACAGCCAGGAUGUUGGCUUAGAAGCAGCCAUCAUUUAAAGAAAGCGUAAUAGCUCACUGGUCGAGUCGGCCUGCGCGGAAGAUGUAACGGGGCUAAACCAUGCACCGAAGCUGCGGCAGCGACGCUGAUGCGUUGUUGGGUAGGGGAGCGUUCUGUAAGCCUGCGAAGGUGUGCUGUGAGGCAUGCUGGAGGUAUCAGAAGUGCGAAUGCUGACAUAAGUAACGAUAAAGCGGGUGAAAAGCCCGCUCGCCGGAAGACCAAGGGUUCCUGUCCAACGUUAAUCGGGGCAGGGUGAGUCGACCCCUAAGGCGAGGCCGAAAGGCGUAGUCGAUGGGAAACAGGUUAAUAUUCCUGUACUUGGUGUUACUGCGAAGGGGGGACGGAGAAGGCUAUGUUGGCCGGGCGACGGUUGUCCCGGUUUAAGCGUGUAGGCUGGUUUUCCAGGCAAAUCCGGAAAAUCAAGGCUGAGGCGUGAUGACGAGGCACUGCGGUGCUGAAGCAACAAAUGCCCUGCUUCCAGGAAAAGCCUCUAAGCAUCAGGUAACAUCAAAUCGUACCCCAAACCGACACAGGUGGUCAGGUAGAGAAUACCAAGGCGCUUGAGAGAACUCGGGUGAAGGAACUAGGCAAAAUGGUGCCGUAACUUCGGGAGAAGGCACGCUGAUAUGUAGGUGAAGUCCCUCGCGGAUGGAGCUGAAAUCAGUCGAAGAUACCAGCUGGCUGCAACUGUUUAUUAAAAACACAGCACUGUGCAAACACGAAAGUGGACGUAUACGGUGUGACGCCUGCCCGGUGC
rnacentral:rRNA from 1 species